UCUUCCGUAGUAUAGUGGUCAGUAUGUGAGCUUGUCAUUGGCCAACGCUCGAGACCCGGGUUCAAUUCCCGGCGGGAGAG